GUCGUAUAAUGUCUUAAAUUUUGAUUUAAAAUAAAAUUUAAAAUUAAUAUUAAUAUAAAUGAUAUAGAUUUGCUAUUAGACACCCAUCAUUUAUAUAGAUUUGCUAUUAUAAAAUUUUAAUAUAAGAUACUAAAAAACAUGACAGUCAUGAGAAAACCCCGUCAUAUAAUGAUAAAGCAAUUUGGUACCCUAGCUUCUUGUUUUCAUAUUCAGAAGGCUUUCUAGUUCUCCAAACUCUUAAGCUUUUAGAUCAAGAGUAGUAUGUAGAACUUUGGCCUCUACCUCCUUGUUGCCCUAUUCGAUUCGAUCGUCAGUAGAGCUAUUGCUAUCGCCACCUAGAUAUGACGUUCUUUGCCUCAGAUCGUCGAUAUGCUCUGUUCGUCGCUGCUCGUGCUGUUUUGUGAUCUGCUCCUCACUGUCGUUUUUGUCUGUUUAGCCGAUUGUCACGACCAUUGAAGAAGGUGAAGUCGAAGAAAGGCUUGCCAUUGAAGAACAUCCGAGAAUGAUUUGAUUUCUACAUGAACCGUUCGUAUUGCUUCCCGUGUCCUCUAUAUAGAGGACACUAAUUGGAAUAUUAGGUGCUCGCUCUUCCCUCUCUCCUGAAGAAAAUAUAUGAAGACAUGAAAAAAAUGAUGCCCCUGUAUCUUGAACCUAAUGGAGUCAAUCUAUGUGCUACCUCUUUGCUUCAAAAUCAACUAUACUAGAAUAGGGAGCUUACUAUAGCUUCUUUCAACUUCCAUGAAGAGAACUAGUGAAUGGUGAUUGACAAGAAGGCUUCUCUUAAAAAUGAUUCUCCACUUAAGUCUCCAAACCCAACUAUCUCACCUUUGAAGAAUACAAAUGAGAAUUUUUCUCCAAUAUUGACAAGCAGGACAAGCACGCCUCAGCAAAAAAGUACCAAGUCAUCACCUUGUGUGGGUAAUGUUCAUAGCAAUCUUCUUAAAGUUCCUCUCAAUAUCAAGACACGGUAUGAUCGAUCUACAACUUGGGAUGGUCUUCCUCCUAUUCUUUGUAAUCUUGGAAAGGAAGUUGCAAGUCAUAGGAACAUUUCCUUUUUAAGUUCCCUCUCCCAAGAAAAAGCCAAGUGAAGACGUGUUUUGCAAAGCUCCCACUAACAAGAAUGCUAUGACUUGGGUACAAGUUGCCUUGCGAACUAAUCUUUCCAAGUUCAUAUUAUAGUUAAAUUAAACUAUUUUGUGCUAGUUACCCUCAUUGAAGUCAUGUCUAAUUUUUUAAGUAAAUAUUAGAAAUUUAUAUGCUAAGUGAGUGAUAGUGCCAUAAUUUGUAGGAUUAGUAUAAAUACAAUUGUAAAGUGUGCAAGUUGCAAAACUUGACGUGUAGAGUUAUGAGCAUUUUUCUAUUUGCACUUUGGUUACUUUAAAUUUCUAUUGGUUAGUUCAUUACGUUAAUUUUGAUAUGGAUUGAUGGACAAUUU